CCUACGGGAGGCUGCAGUGGGGAAUAUUGGACAAUGGGGGGAACCCUGAUCCAGCCAUGCCGCGUGUGUGAAGAAGGCCCUCGGGUUGUAAAGCACUUUCAGUGAGGAAGAACGCCUGGUGGUUAAUACCCAUCAGGAAAGACAUCACUCACAGAAGAAGCACCGGCUAACUCCGUGCCAGCAGCCGCGGUAAUACGGCGGGUGCGAGCGUUAAUCGGAAUUACUGGGCGUAAAGCGCGCGUAGGUGGCUUGAUAAGCCGGUUGUGAAAGCCCCGGGCUCAACCUGGGAACGGCAUCCGGAACUGUCAAGCUAGAGUGCAGGAGAGGAAGGUAGAAUUCCCGGUGUAGCGGUGAAAUGCGUAGAGAUCGGGAGGAAUACCAGUGGCGAAGGCGGCCUUCUGGACUGACACUGACACUGAGGUGCGAAAGCGUGGGUAGCAAACAGGAUUAGAUACCCCUGUAGUC
rnacentral:rRNA from 1 species